rnacentral:lncRNA from 1 species
GGGCGCCUCGGCGCCGCGGCGCGGGUGCCCCCGCCCCGAGCUCCGCGCGCGCCCCGCGCGGCUGGAUGGACUCUCGGGGCUCGCGCUGUCGAGAUCCACUUGUCAGUUCAAGGGCAGGACAGAAACUCUGCAAGCGGAGUCUUGCGAACAGGAAAUUUCUCAUUGACAAGCUCUCCAAUCAUGUCCUUCUGGGGUCGUCCUGGCAACUCACCAACUGCAGUAAAUAUCGCGAAAGGAGUUUGUCUCUUUCUGGGAUCAGCAGGUCUCAGCUGAUCCGUUACGUUCACCAUGGGAAUCUAAGAAUUUAUCAUCUGAGUGAAGAGUUGCCUUCCUCCCAGUAAUGAUUUAAGGCUGCUUCCAAAGAUACACAAAACCCAGCAAAGAUAAAUAGAAGUGGGACAUGAGUUAUAAUGUCAUGCCUGCUCACACACCUUUGCCCCAGUCCACAUAGGAGGACUGAAUUUAUAACGCCUUUCAAAAAUGAGGGCUUCUCCAAGUUUUUCUCGAAGGAUUCCACCGGCCAGACAGGGCUCUGGAAGCUCAGCCCUCAAGACUUGCCGCACGUGGGAGGCUGCUGGGAGACCGUUUUGAAAAUGCAAGCACACACAGCAACAAGGACGCAUCCCACAAAUGAAACGUUCCGCAAAAGAAGUCUGCCUCAAACGACUGUGCACAAUAGUGUUCCAUUUACAUCAAGUUUUAAAGGGGGCCAAGCCAAUCGAAGGUGUCAGAAGCCAGUGUAGGGGCUACGUGGAGGAAGGGGGACAAUGGAGAGGGGCAUACCCCUUGGGAGGGGGCGCAAGGGGGACUUCUGGGGGGCUGGGCAUACUCUGCACCUUGAUUUGGAUGCUGGCUACACGGGUGUGCUCAGCUUGUAAAAAUUCAUCAAGCUGUACAUUUAGGAUUUAUACACCUUUCUGUCUGCGUGCUGCACGUCGAUAAAAUGUUAACAAAAUAAAAA